rfam:Homo sapiens chromosome 6, GRCh38 reference primary assembly.
AAAAUGGCUUUUUAGUAAAGCCAUUUACUUUUUCUAAAAAAGUUUU